UACGUAGGGGCUAGCGUUAUCCGGAAUUACUGGGCGUAAAGGGAGCGCAGGCGGGCAAGUCAGUCUGAAGUGAAAUCCCGGGGCUCAACCUCGGACUUGCUUCGGAUACUGCUUGUCUUGAGUUCGUGAUAGGAAGACGGAAUUCAGGGUGUAGCGGUGAAAUGCACAGAUAUCCUGAGGAACACCGGUGGCGAAAGCGGUCUUCUGGCGCGAAACUGACGCUGAGGCUCGAAAGCGUGGGUAGCAAACGGGAUUAGAUACCCGGGUAGUCCCU
rnacentral:rRNA from 1 species